rnacentral:rRNA from 1 species
GACGAACGCUGGCGGCGUGCUUAACACAUGCAAGUCGAACGGAAAGGCCCUGCUUGCAGGGUACUCGAGUGGCGAACGGGUGAGUAACACGUGGGUGAUCUGCCCUGCACUUCGGAUUAGCCCUGGGAAACGGGUUCAAUACCGGGUAGGAGCCCUUUUUUGUUUGGUGGUUGGAAAGUUUUUUUGGUGUAGGGAGAGCUCGCGGCCUAUCAGCCUGGUGGUGGGGUAAUGGCCUACCAAGGCGGCGACGGGUAGCCGGCCUGAGAGGGUGGACGGCCACAUUGGGACUGAGAUACGGCCCAGACUCCUACGGGAGGCAGCAGUGGGGAAUAUUGCACAAUGGGCGCAAGCCUGAUGCAGCGACGCCGCGUGGGGGAUGACGGCCUUCGGGUUGUAAACUCCUUUCGCUAGGGACGAAGCUUUUUGUGACGGUACCUAGAUAAGAAGCACCGGCUAACUACGUG